AAAACAGAAUGUUUGCUUAAUUGAAUGUUUUAAACAUUUAGAGAACUUUCAGAAUAUAUAAAGACUUCCUUUUUUAAGAUUUUGCCUGAACUUUUAGCAGUUCAAUGGACUGUUUCAUAAAGCUAGACUCUAAAAUGAACAUUGAGAAUACAGUGUAUCUUCAUUUUUAAUCCCUCAUUCUUCUUUAUGAAACAGCCCUUUGUUUUGAAGAAUGUACAUGUAUGCAAUACUAAAGAGAUGAAGCAGUUGAGAACGUAAUGCACAUCAAUGAUGUUUUUAACAAUAGAGUAUCUGCUCAGCUUAUUCACAAAGUACAAUGAAAUUAAUAUAUAGAUUUUUGUUUUGUUAUCCUGGCACUCACUGUACAUAAUUAGAGAGUCAGACCUAUUCUUGUGGCUUCAUGCAGUAUUGUUUGUUUGUUUGAAAAUGGAGGUAACUGAAUGUAUUGUUACUAACUGAUACACAGUGAUAUUUUAUUUAAUUGAUCAAAUGUCAUGAAAGAGUGUGUGUGGUCAUUCAGACAGUAACAGUACGAGUCAGCGUUGAGCAGUUAGUAUGUGUGUAUUGGCUUUGCUUGCUAGAGUGUAUCUGUGUGAAGAUUUUAUUGGUUACUACUCAAUAAAUGUACAAGUGUUCAA